CAGGUGAUAUUUUAAUAUCAAUGCAGAAUAAAAAUAACAGCUUGGCUGUAUUUUUUGUGUAACUACCAAAAUAAGGCGACAAAAAUAAAAACAAAACAAAAGAAUCCACAGAACUCUCCUGCUCGAUAUUCUGGAAAGUUCAGUUCAAAAAGAAGAAUCCCAUGUGUGUGUCUGUAUUCAGUGUAUCAACAUCCAUUCAGUUUCUUUGUCCUCAAUUUCUAUAAACUACUACUACCCAGGUAGGUGAGGAGUGUGUCUACCUUAUCUGUCUCAAGAGUGUGAGAUUCAGAUGUUCUAGAGUCAUCAAGGUAGGUUCUGCAGCUGGCCACAUUGCAUCUCCAACUCUCUCAGAAUUGCUCACCAUCUUAAUCGUUCUCUCUAUUUCCCAGACAGUAGAUCAGACUAGCAAAAAAACACAACCUACACAGAAGGUGCAUAGUUGUAAGGAACUUAAUCUGAUUCUUUCUGUUUUCAUAUGAUUUUCUUAUGAGACCUCAUCAUUUUCUCAGUUCAAGCAUGAAAUAUAUCACCAAAUACAUGAAGGCAAUACAUAAACACAAUAAAUGAAUUAAAACUAUUAGUUUUAACCAUAAAUGUACUAAACUAUUCAUGAAUUAUCGCAACAAAAUACUCUUUUUAAACAGACACAUAAUUUAUGCAUCAUUUUUAACCUCUAUUUAUCUUAUAUCAACAAUCUCUUUUAACUAUUUUAAUUCACCGUUUUAAUUAUUCUCUAACUCUAACAUUAAUUGAAAUAUAGUUUACACUAAAGUGCAAUUUCCUAAUCAAAAAAUGAAAUAAACCACACCUUAAAUGGUACUGUCACCCAUUGCAGUGGCUAAUUACACAAAAUAGCAGUUUAAAUAGCAUAAAAAAUAAAUAAACUGCAUCUUGCAAAUGCAAAAUGUAUGAAACUUGGUUUUAGCUUAUCGAUUAGCAUAGCGAUUAGCAUGAGCUAAGCGUAACAAUAGAAAAAUUAGCAUUUCGGCCUAUCAAUUACAAUAACGCGGCCGCUAUUAGCAUUAACUAGGGAUCUUUUUUCAAACAAUAAACUACGGUAUAAAGUGCACAAAAUCACAGAAAAACAUUGGAAAGCAUUUUAUGGCAUAUUGUAAGCACGACAGACCAACUUAAACCAACUUAACACAAUAAAUGCAUUUUUUCCUUCCGGCAGCUAUGGAAUGAUAGGCUACUGUGUGCUAACUCACCGGAGUCUCAAGCAUUUACGCUCACAAAGUAUUUUUUUUCCUUUCUCUUCGGCUCACAGCUUAUCAGGAUGAAACCUGGAUUCGUCUGUGACUACCGGGUCUGCAAUGGACUUCUCUGCCUUAAUCCGCGGCUGUCUGCGACACUCUCUUUCAUGUUAAAUUUAGUUUUUCUUCUACCGACUUUCUCAUAUGGUCUGUUCUGCUGCUGCCUGCCUCGUGGCUAAGAGAAAAACAUGGCGUCUACUCGCAGGUCUAGACUUCGUGCAAUACUUGACCAGGUUCACGGGGAAACAAAUACUAGUGGGGGGAAACACUGCCCCUACUGGAGGUUUACUCUAACUGUCUAAAUGACAAUUAUAGUAUUAGUGACCUGAUUUUUCAUGCUGGUUACAUUUUAUUUUGUCAAGUUUCCUAGUUUCCUGCCUGUUGUGUCUCCUUGUGGUUUUGUCAUGUCUGUCUGUGUCAUGUUGUGUUUCCUGUUUUAUUUUGUUAAGUUGUGGAUUUCCUGUCUUGUGCCUCCUUUUCCCUUGAUUGCUUAUUGGUCUUACCUGUGUUUAUUAUCCUCACGUGUCUCACCUGUGUCUUGUCAGCCCUGAGCCCUCUUGUGCAUUAAUUAGCCCUGCCUUCCCUUUGUUCCUUGUCGCAUCGUUUAAUGCCUCCACGCUACGUCUUGUUCCAUGUUUCUAUGUCCUUGCCUUCAAGCCACGAUUUUGACUGGUAGUUUUGCGAUGUCCUUGAUUCUUUUGAUUUUUGUAUUUUGUAUUUUCCUGCCAUGUGCAGCGCAUUUUGUUAAUCAUUAAAUACCUUUUGUCUGAAA